UUAUCCGGCCCACAUGCUCCACGGGGACGAUGUUAUCUCACGCGCCGCCUUCCCUGAUAAAACCCUUCCUCUCCCGCCCCUUCACUGGCAUAAUCACUGCUGCCACUCGUCUGUGCUCCACUGCUCGACUGAACCCUCCCGCUGGUCUCUGCGGCCUCGGUUCUCGCCCAUUUGCAGUUUGCGCAGCCGCUUCAAUGGCGGAUUCCAGCUCCACCACGAGUGGUUCCUCCCCGAAGCACGUCGCCGGAACCUGGUACUCCGUGCCUGAGCUCCGCCUCCGCGAUCAUCGCUUCACCGUCCCCCUGGAUUACUCUCUCGCCGCGUCUCCGAAGAUCACCGUCUUCGCUCGCGAAGUUGUUUCGGUUGGGAAGGAAGAGCAACAUUUGCCAUACCUGUUAUAUCUACAAGGUGGACCGGGGUUUGAGUGCAUGCGACCAACUGAAUCCAGCGGAUGGAUACACAGAGUUUGUGAAGAGUUUCGACUGAUAUUGAUGGACCAGCGAGGAACAGGCCUGUCAACUCCUUUGACGCCGUCCUCUAUGUCACAGUUUAAAUCUGCAAAGGCUUUGGCUGAUUAUUUGGUGCAUUUUCGGGCUGAUAAUAUUGUGAAUGAUGCUGAGUUUAUUCGAGUUCACCUUGUUCCUGAUACCGGACCUUGGACAGUUCUGGGCCAGAGCUACGGCGGUUUCUGUGCAGUGACAUAUCUAAGCUUUGCUCCCCAAGGACUAAAGCAAGUCCUUUUAACUGGCGGAAUCCCUCCAAUUGGAAAUGGUUGCACUGCAGAUGCUGUCUACCGAGCAUGCCGUGAGCAACUCAUUCUUCAAAAUGAGAAGUUCUAUAAGAGGUAUCCUCAGGACAUUGAAGUUGUUCACGAGGUUGUCAAGUUUUUGGCGGAAUCUGAAGGUGGAGGGGUGUCCCUUCCAUCUGGCGGUUUCCUAACACCGAGGGGAUUACAAACUCUUGGCCUUUCUGGUUUAGGAUCCAGUACUGGUUUUGAGCGCUUACACUAUAUGUUUGAGAGGGUCUGGGAUCCUCCACUAGUUCCAGGAGCACCAAAACAGAUCAGUUACUACUUCUUAAAAUCUUUUGAGAGUUGGUCGAGUUUGGAUACGAAUCCCCUCUAUGCUCUCAUGCACGAGUCCAUAUAUUGCCAGGGUGACGCAUCAAGGUGGUCCGCCGAAAGAAUGAGAGAUGAAGAUGAAACCAAGUUUGAUGCACUUAAGGCUGCAAAAGAAGGUCGCCCUGUGGUCUUUACGGGAGAGAUGAUUUUCCCAUGGAUGUUUGAUGAAAUCCACGCCCUGAAGCCAUUCAAGGAAGCUGCUAAUAUCUUAGCCGAGAAAAAGGACUGGCCUCCACUGUACGACAAGAAAUCACUGAACGACAACAAGGUUCCUGUUGCAGCCGCUGUUUAUUACGAAGAUAUGUAUGUCAAUUUUAAGCUGGCAAUGGAGACGGCUUCCCAGAUAGCUGGGAUUAGGCUAUGGAUAUCAAACGAGUACAUGCAUUCUGGCCUGCGUGAUAAUGGGAGCCGGGUUUUAGACCAGUUGUCGGGUAUGUUGAAUGGAAAGAAGCCUUUGUUCUGAUCCCCAAGGCAGUUUCGUCCGUUGAGCUUCCUCCUCUCGUGGUUCUCAUUGCCUGCUCCUGUAUUGUUAUUGACUGAGCCUGGGUCUUGCGAUUUCAGUUGAGGUCCGAAUAUUUUUGGACCUGUCUGGCUUUUCUUGGGCCUCACUUUUAUGAGGCAUGAAGCUUCUUACCGAAAUCCAAGCAGUUCGGAUCCCAGGGAGUACUCGGAAUAAUUUGGAGAGGUCCAGUCAAUCUAUUCUGAACUGAACUUGGUCCAGACGGAGAGUCUAUAACACCUGUUUUAGAGAAUUCAAAACUGAACUUAGUUAUGCAGAACUGAAAUAUUUCGGUUUGGUUCAAAUUUGGUCCGAUCGAUUUGGGUUUUCACAUGACCCCAAACCACCAAAUGUAGUAUUUUAAGGUA